rnacentral:tRNA from 1 species
GCCCGGGUGGUGGAACUGGUAGACACAGGGGACUUAAAAUCCCCAGCUCGCAAGGGCGUGCGGGUUCGAUUCCCGCCCCGGGCA